UACGUAGGUGGCAAGCGUUGUCCGGAUUUACUGGGCGUAAAGAGCGCGCAGGCGGUCGUUCAAGUCGGAUGUGAAAGCCCCCGGCUCAACUGGGGAGGGUCAUUCGAUACUGAUCGACUCGAAGGCAGGAGAGGGAAGCGGAAUUCCCGGUGUAGUGGUGAAAUGCGUAGAUAUCUGGAGGAACACCGGUGGCGAAGGCGGCAUCCUGGACCGGUAUUGACACUGAGGCGCGAAAGCCAGGGGAGCAAACGGG
rnacentral:rRNA from 1 species